rnacentral:rRNA from 1 species
AAUUGGAGGGCAAGUCUGGUGCCAGCAGCCGCGGUAAUUCCAGCUCCAAUAGCGUAUAUUAAAGUUGUUGCAGUUAAAAAGCUCGUAGUUGAAUUUCGGGAUCAAUAUUUCGGUCAUGCCGUUGGUAUGCACUGUUAUCAUUGAUUUCUCACCUUCUAAAGAACCGUAAUGCCAUUAAUUUGGUGUUACGGGGAAUUAGGACUGUUACCUUGAAAAAAUUAGAGUGUUUAAAGCAGGCUCACGCUUGAAUACAUUAGCAUGGAAUAAUGAAAUAGGACAUCCGAUUCUAUUUUGUUGGUUUCUAGGAUCGGUGUAAUGAUUAAUAGGGAUAGUUGGGGGCAUUAGUAUUCAAUUGUCAGAGGUGAAAUUCUUGGAUUUAUUGAAGACUAACUACUGCGAAAGCAUUUGCCAAGGAUGUUUUCAUUAAUCAAGAACGAAAGUUAGGGGAUCGAAGACGAUCAGAUACCGUCGUAGUCUUAACCAUAAACUAUGCCGACUAGGGAUCGGAUGAUGUUAAUUUUUUAAUGACUCAUUCGGCGCCUUACGGGAAACCAAAGUGU